GACCUUGUCUGAAAUAAAUAAAUAAAAUAGAAACAAUGCAGAGACAAUUAGCAAGGCCCUUGCACAAAGAUGUCAUGAAAAUUUGCAAAGCAUUCCAUAUAUUU
ensembl:snRNA U6 U6 spliceosomal RNA